CUACCCCCUUUCACAUAGCUGAGACAUGCCCACCGAGCUCUGGUGGUUCUGACUGAGUUCUGGAAGCCCUAACCGAGUCCUAGAGGUUCUGAUUGAGUUCUGGAGGUUCUGACCGAGUUCUGGAGGUUCUGGCCGAGUCCUAGAGGUUCUGAUUGAGUUCUGGAGGUUCUGAUUGAGUUCUGGAGGUUGUGAACGAGUCUUGACUUGGAGGUCACAGAGUUUGG